rnacentral:rRNA from 1 species
AUUUUGAUUAAUUAAAUAAAAAAAAUAAAUUUUUUUUAAUUGUGAUAUUAAAUUUAAUUUUCAUAAAAAAAAUAUUUUUAUAAAAAAAAAUUAUUAGUAUUAUUUUAGAAAAAUUGAGAUAAUUUAUAAUAUAAGUAUUGUAAAAGAAAAAGAUAAUUUUAAAUUAAAAUUAUAAAAGUAAAAUUAUUUUUUUUUACCUUUUGUAUCAGGGUUAAAUAAAUUAAUUUUAAUUAAUAUUAAUCAUCUCGAAAUAAAAGGAGAUAAUUUAAGUAUAAUUUAUAUUGUUACAAAAAUAUAUUUAAUAUUAAAUUUGAAAUGAAAAGUUAUUCGAUUUUUAUUAUAUCUAGUUAUUUAAUAAAUAAAUUGAAUUUAGUUAAUUUAUUAAAAUUUAUUUAAUUUUUUUUGAAAAAUUAAAUAAUUAAAAUUAAUAAAGAAUUAUAGGAUAAACUAUAAUUUUAGGUAUUAAAAAUUAUUUUUUUGAAUUAUUAUAUUUAAUAAAAUUUAAUAUUAAUAGAAAUUUAAAUUUAUAAAAAAAAUGUAAAAAUUUAAUUUUAUAUAGUUAAAAUAAUUUAAAUUAAUAAAAAUUUUAAUAUAGAUAUUAAAUAAAUUUAUUUAAUAAAAUUUUUAAGUAUUAUAAUGUUUAAAUAAGUAUAAAUAAUAUAAUUUUAUAAAAAUAUAAUUAAAUUAAUAAUUAAUAAUUAAUUGAUUUAAAGGAAUUCGGCAAAAUUAUAUAUUUACCUGUUUAAUAAAAACAUGUCUUUUAGAAUAAAAUUUAAAGUCUGGUCUGCCCAAUGAAUUUUAAAUUUAAAUGGCUGCAGUAAAUUGACUGUACAAAGGUAGCAUAAUCAUUAGUUUUUUAAUUAAAAACUGGAAUGAAAGAUUUAAUAAAAUAUAAGCUGUCUAAAAAUUAAUUAGUAAAAAUUAAAUUUUGAGUAAAAAUGCUUAAAUAUUUUUAAGGGACGAUAAGACCCUAUAGAUCUUUAUUAAAAUAUUAUUUAUAAUAUUUUAUUAUAAAAUUUUUAAGUAGUAUUUUUAUUUAACUGGGGUUGUUUUAAAAAUUGAUAAAAUUUUAAAUAUAAGUUUACAUAAAUUAAUGGUUUGAAUUUGUAUAAAUUUUAUAAAAUAAAAUAAGUUACCUUAGGGAUAACAGCGUAAUAAUUUUUUAAAGUUCAUAUUAAAAAAAUUGUUUGCGACCUCGAUGUUGAAUUAAAAUAAAAUAUAAAUGAAGAAUUUUAUAAUUUAGGUCUGUUCGACCUUUAAAAUUUUACAUGAUUUGAGUUUAGAUCGGCGUAAGCCAGAUCAGUUUCUAUCUUUAAAUAAAAAAAAUUAUUAUUGUACGAAAGGACUUAAUAAUUAAAUUAUAAAUUUAAAAUUUUAUUUUAUUAUAAAUUAAUUUUUUUAAAAAAAAUAAU